ensembl:lncRNA
GUAAGUGUCUCCUUAGUGGGGCUGCUCCUCAUUUGGUUUUACCCCGGGACACUGGGCUGCAUCCUGCUGUGGUCAGUUCCGAGAAGCUGCGAUUUAAAACUGGAUGUAUGUAGCUUUAAGCAAGUCCUAGGCCAACGCUCAGUCCCAAGGAGCGUCAGGGUCCUCUCACCAGCGGCAGGUGGGGAGUGGUGGACAUUGGAUGCCUUGGUUUUCGCCGGUGACCUGCAGGCACUUGGGCUGCAUCAGUGAAGAAAACAAAGAUCCCUGUGUUGGAGGAGGUCAUCCAGAGGACGUGACUACUGGUUGACCCAAUAGUGAGACCAGGGCAGUCAGAGGCUCCGUACUUCUCCACUGUCCUUGGAAGGAUAUACUACUGGAAAACAUGUGGAAAAUAUUGCUACAUACAUACAAAGGAAGAAUUAUCAUGACAAAUUACUCAGUAUGGGAUGCUUGUUAUACAAAUUAGAUGAGAGCACAGAUGUUUCUCACGUCUCAGCUAACGCAUCUGGCCAUCCUCUCGCAACCUCUCACAUCCGGGUAUCCUCCCACAUCCGGGUAUCCUCCCACAUCCGGGUAUCCUCCCGCCUCCGCAUCCAGGGAUCCUCUUCCAGGUGCGUUAGGAGGUCUGUGCCCUCGUGCGAGUCUUUGGCUGUUCAGCCAUUCUUUAUGCACCCAACCUCUAGGCGUGGGACAGCACUCUCGCCUCAGUUCCUCCAGUGUCUCUUUCACGUCCUUUUCUUCCUCACUCUACCAACCAAACGUUCAUUCCCUUCAGGCUCUGGGUUAGGAAAAUAAAAUGGCCUGACUACAGAAAGGAAACUCCAAAAUUUAUGGGCUUGUGAUUGCAGUUCAACUAUUGUGUUUGGAGUGAAAUCCCUUUCUUUGAGCAGUUUUAACGGGGGUCAUCCAAAGCGAAGUGGGUAUACUUGAAUGCCACAGUAGUAUCUGGAAGAAGAAACACACUGUAUUUCCAAGAGUCUGUAGAAGGAAGAGUUUGAAAGUGUGAUGAAAUGAUAUCUUUACUUUUUCUUAUUUUAGAAUUCUCAGUCGGUGUGCAUAAUAUACUACCAUUUGUAAAAAGAAAAAAAUGUGUGAUGUAUAUACUUAUAUAUGCACAUAACACACAGGAAACUAUUAAGAGGGGUUGCCUUUGGUGAGGGGGCCUGGGAAUACAUAGGUGUGGAGAGAGACAUUUCUCACUGUAUAUCAGUAAUUCUCAACCAUUUUAGUCUUAGGAUUCCUUUAACUCUUAAAAAUUAUUGGAGUUACCAAACAGUUUUUGUUUAUGUCAGUAAUAUGUCUAUCAAUAUUGACUGUAUUAGAAAUUAAAACAGAGAUCUUAAAAAUACUUAUUUAUUAAUUCAUUAAAAAAUAACAAUAAUACACCCAUUAUAUAUUGACACAAAUAUAUUUUUCAAUGAGAAAACCCCUAUAUUUUCUAAAACAAAGUUCAGUGAGAAGAAUGGCAUUGUUUGACAUUUUUUGCAUAUCUCUUUAAUAUCUGGCUUAAUGGAGACAGCUGGAUUCUCAUAUUUGCCACUGUAUUCAGUCUGUUGUGAUGUCACAUGUCAUGGAGCCUCUGGAGAACACCACUGUACACUUACAAGAGAAUCAG